GGAUGGGGCCCCAGACAGCCUCGUCUGGUGGGUGGCAACUCUGCUCAGGGAAUUAGAGAAUGGGCUUUAAGGCCCAUUCUAACCCAAGCCAUUCAUUCUAUGAUUCUAUUAUCUCACAUCAGUCUCUUCUAGAUAGAAUUUCUGAGAGGAAAGUUAAUUAAUCACAAACUGUCAAGGGAGCAUAUUAAAAGACUUUCCAGAGUACCUUUCCCAUGAGUUUUGUUAUAGGAGAAAGUAGCAUGAUCCUCACUUUCUUCAUGGUGGUUUAGUUCAAAGUUUGGUGCUCUCUUUAUUUAAUUCCCUUUUCCAUAAAUGCUUUCUAAUACUCCAGCUUUUCCACCUUUGUACAUUGCAUCCGUUCUUAGUACAGUGAGGAACCAAACAGAGUAAACUACAUUUCUCAGCUGCUGUUUCUCUUCAUUAAGAUUAAGGUUGGAAUCUAACUCUUGAGCUGUCUUCAGGGCAAGGAAAGAGGUGUAGAGGGACUCCCUGAAAACAUGCAAAAUGAGUAUUGAUUGGAAAGUUAAGCCAAAUUCAUACCGUUUUCCUGGGGUAAAUCAUCUGUUCUCAUCAGGACUCCAUAGAAUCAGGCUUUUGUUCAAGAACUUAAGGAAAAUGGUGAGAAAAGAGAUUUACUUCAGCUUUGCCUGUGUUCUUACUUUUUUUUAUUCUUUUUUUUUUUUAACCCUUUAUUAAGAUUGAUGGCAGUGGGAAGAAGAAAGGGUCUGCAGCUGAUGGAGGAAGGAAGAGGACAAGGAGGAAUGUAGCAGCCAAGACAAAAUGGAAGAGAUGAGGAAAAGGCUCUGGCUGAGAACAUUGGAAACAAUGUCAAAAUCAACCCUCUUCUGGAUGCUAUGGUCAUGUGCUGCCACUGAUGCCAGUGAAAGAAAGAGUAAGUCUCUAAAACAAGUUCAGGAGUUUGCAAGGUACUGUUACAUACAUAGAUCAAAAAUAGAUGUAUUUUUAUACCCGAAGUCAGACUUUCAAAAAGAUUUGGGUCCACAAACAAGGAGACAGACGACAACGGUGCUUGGAAAUGCUUUGGUGUCUCUGUUUUCCUUAGAUCGUAGGAGGCAGAUUUCACUUGGCAGUGAAGCCAAGCCCCUAAAAUGCAGUUUGCUUGUCUCCAAGAAGAGGAGGAGACACCUUUGUAGAACUGCUAUGCAGUAACAGAGCUGCUGUUUAAUUUUGGGGUAAUACAUUCCCUAUUGUACUCAUUGUUCUGCAUUUACUCUAUUGCCUGGUACUGUAAUACACUGCUCUCAGUAUGCUAAUGGGAUUUCAUGGGGCUGCCAUCACCAGCUCGAUUUGUAACAGGAAGCCAGGACAAUAAAGGCUUUCAGAAGAUUAAUGUGAGAAAUGGAUGCCUCUGUAGAGGGGCAUCAGUGCAAAAUGAAAAACAACACUGUCUUCCAUUGCUUGUUACUGCCAUCUCAUUUUCACCACUAAAUAACUAGUGCAUUUCUCUCCACAAUGAACACCAACAAAAGGAAGACAGCCUUCAUCAACAAAGGGCGUACUAUAGGAGGGAACAGACAGGGCAGCAUUCCUCUCAGGCAUUUCAUAAAAUCACCUCCCACUGUUUGCCAUCCCUGAGCUCCCUCAGAUUUUACACCACUGAGCAUCUCCUGACAACCUGCAGCUUUCCGGCAGAAAAUUCAGAACGGGUUAACAAAAGCUCUGGCAUUUUAGGAAUAGGUUUUGAUGAGCAUAUAUAUCUCAGUUAACACUUUUGUCUACCAACAUAGCUUGGCUGAUAUAGACUGCACUUGAUGCAGCGUGCACAAGUGUGCUGUUGACUCAGAAACAGCUAGACAGCAGCAGAGUGUGGUAGCCUCAGGAAAUGGCUUUGUGUUUCUCACUGGACACACAUUAUCAUUGCACACAUUGUCCCAAAGUCACUGGCUAUUCUCUGAAUUACAGAGUGCCUCUGCGUUAACAUGGAAAUUCAAAGAAUUAAAAGAAGACAAGUAUUUCACUAAUCUCUUCCUUAUUAGUUUUCCUCAUCAAUUAUAUUGUUAUUUCCGUGCAAAAACCAAGGUGAGGAUGGAGAAAGGGGGAGAAGUAAUUAAUAUGCGGAUAUUUCCAUGGCUGACGGCCAGAUUAAUCUUUCAAAUGCCUUUGGCAGGCCAAAUCUCAGGUAUGAUCCAAAAGCAUGAGAACAGAAUCAGCAGGCAUGCAGAGGCAGUGCAGAGUGUAUAAGGACAGCAGGGAGCUAGCAAACGGUUGUGUCACUGUGCAGAAACCAGCACUGUCCAAGAUCAGUUUCUCAAGAGUUCAGGCUGCCCUGGAGGCCCCAACCCUGUGUUAUUCCUUGGACUCCCACCCUUCAGUGUGGUGCAGCUGUAGUGCAUAGGGAUUGAUCGGGACCACAGCUACUCCUGCUCAUGUCCCUCCAGAGCUAUCUACAUGCUCUGUUCACUCCAGGUUGUCUACUACCUUACUGAUUCCAAAGUGCUAUUUCUGAGUUAAAUUUCCUCCUGUUUAGCUUGGGAAUUGUUUAGCUCUAUGCCAUUUAUCUAUUUCUGUCCAUGUGUUCUGGUCUUGGGAAGGUCAAGGAGCUGUGAGUUAGCAGGAAGUGGCAGUUGUGUUUGAUAUGGAUUCUUCUGGUUUCCAUCUGUCCACUGGAGUCAGAAUGUAUUGACCCAUGACACAAGGAUCAUGAACUACUUCAAGUUUGCAAGAGGUUGGGCUUGACUGUGAUAAAUACAACAUCAUUUUUGAAAAGUACCUCUCUCUUAAUAAAUUAACAUGCAAAUAAAUGGACUGGGAACUGGGAGAACAUUCCUGACGUUUCUCACAGCAAAGCCUGCUGGAAGACUGCUGUAGGUCAAUUUUUAGUUCCUGGUAACAAUGCAGUGUGUCAAGUUCUCACAUUUCUAGUGCUCUCUGAACAGGUGUGCAUGGCAGCAACACCUGUAAUAUUCUGUAGUAGUUGUGCUAUGGAGCAAUAACGAAAAGGUUACCUUGUGAUCUAUCUCUUCCCCUUUGCCCUUAGCCUGCUGGAGAAGUUCUGAAUUGAAUGUGACUCCAUUAAACUGGAUAAAAUUCUACACUGCCUUAAAACGUAAUCAACUGACUUGCUUUGCAGGAGUUUUGCUUUAAGUAUAGGAUUAUGCAUUAGAGAUGACUUUUUCCAGAAGAUUGAUUCUGCCUCAUUUUUUUUUGCUCAUCAACAGCCUGCAAUCAAGAUUCAAAUCAAGGCAUGAGCAAAGAAUUCAAACCUGUGGCUGCUUUGCUGUUCUCCUCCAUAGUUCUGAUAUCUCUGUAGCUUCUUUCCCUUUACUGCAUGAGUGUGCAUACGUGCCUGACAACUGAAUAGCGUGGGCCAAGAAAGCUUUAUUUUCCACCAUAGUUGAUGGUGUGAAUAGAGAGGUGACAGGGUUUGAUGACAAACCCAAGAUACUGAGGGUAAUAAUGAUGAAGCUACCUGUGCAGAACUGUAGAACUGCAUGAGACUUUAUACUCAAGUGUUAAAGCGGCAGAUGAAAUUUAAUGACAUAAAUAUGAAGUGAUGCACACAAGACCUUGCUAUUUCCUCGUGAUUUCUUUUGUAAAUGAUGCUCUGUAAGCUGACGCUAAUGAUUCAGGAAUAAGAUUCCCGAAUUUAUAACAGGUGGUUUUUUGACAUUGUCAGCUUAGUCGUCAAAAAAAUUUUGAAAUUUUUUAGGAAAGAAAUAGUGAAAAAAAAUCAGUGUCUUAAUAGCAUCUUAUCACUAUAUAAAUUCGUGAUGGCUCCUGUAUCUCCCGAGGUUGUUUUAGAUCUAGAAAAUUUUUAAGGAGCAAAAGAGGACAAUCAGAGAAGGUGGAUAUCAAAUACACAAUAGAUAAUUCAGUGGUGGAAAUUAACAUUUCAUACAUUUCAUGCAGGUUCAAAAUAAAACUGAGCAAGGUUCUGCAAGGUAAAUACCUAAAGGCUUCUAAGCAUGUGAAAAACCAUCUCCAACAGACCAAAUACUGCAGUUCUAAUGUAGUACUGUGG
rnacentral:lncRNA from 1 species